rnacentral:rRNA from 1 species
CACGCUGUAAACGAUGAGAACUUGCUGUUGGGCGCUGAAUAAGUGUUUAGUAGCGAAGCUAACGCGUUAAGUUCUCCGCCUGGGGNGCAACGCGAAGAACCUUACCUACUUUUGAAUCCUAAGAAGUUUGCAGAAAUGCAGAUGUGCCGCAAGGAACUUAGAGACAGGUGC